rnacentral:rRNA from 1 species
UACGUAGGGGGCAAGCGUUGUCCGGAAUCAUUGGGCGUAAAGAGCGUGUAGGCGGUUCGGUAAGUCGGCUGUGAAAGUCCAGGGCUCAACCCUGGGAUGCCGGUCGAUACUGCCGGACUAGAGUUCGGAAGAGGCGAGUGGAAUUCCCGGUGUAGCGGUGAAAUGCGCAGAUAUCAGGAAGAACACCCGCUGGCGUAAGGCGGUUCUCUAGUACGGUACUGACGCUGAGACGCGAAAGCGUGGGGAGCGAACAGG